rnacentral:rRNA from 1 species
AUGCUUCCAGCCCGGAUUGAGGAGCUGGAAAAAUCCGCUGCCCGAACCGGAGCCAUCAAUUCCUUAAUCCGGGCAAAGGCAUGGGUACCCGACUUUGAUCCUGUGGAAGUAGCUCAAGGCUAUCCCAGUCUGAAAGAAGAUGGCUCUGAAUUCAACGAAGAGGAUUUAAGGGCCAUAAACCGUGCAGUGCGCCCGCUGGCUUGCCAGCUAGCUGAAGAGGCAGAUUUGACGCAUUAUCAAGCGGAAUAUAAUAAUCAAAACAAGCGAGUGCUGGCCCCAACUAUUGAAGCGGAGAAUCUGAUUCCUCCAACCCGUAAGCACACUUACGCCCCUGAUAUUGAACCGUCUUCCCUGAUCCAUGAAGAGGCUGUUUUCCAAGCUUUAAUGGGAAUCGACUGGACCACUGUUGAUUUCCAGCCAAUGGGUAGAGACAAGGAAGCUGAAGCGGCAGAGGAUGAGGAGCAGGCUUGA